rnacentral:rRNA from 1 species
AGAUUGAACGCUGGCGGCAUGCCUAACACAUGCAAGUCGAACGGGAGUAGCAAUACUCUAGUGGCGGACGGGUGAGGAAUACGUAGGAAUUUGCCCUUAAGUGGGGGAUAACCCGGGGAAACCCGGAUUAAUACCGCAUGACCUCGAAAGAGCAAAGUGGGGGAUCGCAAGACCUCACGCUUUUGGAGAAGCCUACGUCGGAUUAGCUAGUUGGUGAGGUAAUGGCUCACCAAGGCGACGAUCCGUAACUGGUCUGAGAGGAUGAUCAGUCACACCGGAACUGAGACACGGUCCGGACUCCGUACGGGAGGCAGCAGGUGGGGAAUAGUUGGACGAAGUGGGCGACAAGCCUGAUCCGAGCAAGUCGCCGCGUGUGUAGGAAGAGGUCCGUUAGGGU